GCAGGCGUAGCACAAUGGAUAGUGUAGCGGUCUCCGAACGCCGUCGAUCCGGGUUCGACUCCCGGCGCUUGCACCA
rnacentral:tRNA from 1 species